rnacentral:lncRNA from 1 species
UACCUUUUUUGCAAUUUUUCUAAUUAUUUGUGACGUAGUGUGGUUCUUAAAACCGGCCCAAGCAAUAACUGAUAAGACAGUCGAUUCAAUCACAAAGUUCCACUCCCAACUAUACAAAAAAUACUAGAAAAACCACCAUACAAAACACAAAACACAAAGAAAGGAAAAAGUCAACACACCAUUAAAACUAAACCAUUAUCAUAGGCUUCAUUUGUAAACUGUAACCAACAUAAUUCAUCUAAGUCUCGACCUCAACACUUUCACUAACCGUUGACCCAUUCUCACCCUCUUCAAACACCUUUGCAAUCUUAUCAAUCGGAACCAACGGUAAAUACUGAGCCACCACAUAACCUUUCUCCGAGGUAUACAUCACGGUGUGAUUGUACUUCUCAAGCAAAUAAGCACCAGCGGGGACCGCAACAUGAGCCACCUGAGGAAACACCGGAAGUUUGUUCAACGAGCGCCACGUGGACACCGCGUAUUUCUCAGCUACUGGCUCGUAGUUCUUGUAGAGUUCUUUAGCUGUCGGCUCGUACUUAAUGUACAAUGUAUUGGCCACAUUUGUAGCUGUUUUGAGUGCCUCUAAUGCCAACGCUUUAGCCACUUCUGGAAGGUUCUGAGCCGCGUAUUUGGCUUGGCUUGAAGCCUGUUUCAUCAGUGAUGGCACGUGCCGGUUCAGUUCGGUCAUCAGGUCCCCCACCUGCACAUCUAGGAACUUGAGAGCCUCAAGAGGAAGCUCAUGAUACUUCUCGUAAACCGGUCCGACAACGGUUCGAACAGUGUUCUCAACGGUUUGAACACCAGGCUUCAACGAACCGGCGUUCUCCUUUGCGUAUCCAUAAACAGUCGAGAAACAAACAACAAAAUAGAUCACAGCAUUUUGCACAAAAUCAAGAUAUUUCAGAUGCUCUUCUCCUCCAUCCCUCUGUGCCUGGGCUCGGUGGUCUGAGUGGGUUCAGAUUCCGCCAUGGCAGUCAAGAAGAGAAGCUUAGAGAGUGACGGAGAUAAUAAGGAAGAAGACAAUAGAAGAAGAGGAGAAACCAGAAGAGAUUGAUUGAAGGCUUGAACUAGCAACCAAUGGAAUGAUAUUGCCUUUUAAUACAAGGGCCCAAUGGAUCUGUUGCGGAAUACUCGAGAAAUUUCGAGGGUUUAUAAU